rnacentral:rRNA from 1 species
UACGUAGGGAGCAAGCGUUGUCCGGAAUCAUUGGGCGUAAAGCGCGCGUAGGUGGUCCCGUAAGUCCGCUGUGAAAGUCAAAGGCUCAACCUUUGAAAGCCGGUGGAUACUGUGGGACUGGAGUACGGAAGAGGCGAGUGGAAUUCCUGGUGUAGCGGUGGAAUGCGCAGAUAUCAGGAGGAACACCAAUAGCGAAGGCAGCUCGCUGGGACGUUACUGACACUGAGGCGCGAAAGCGUGGGGAGCGAACAGG